rnacentral:rRNA from 1 species
GAGUGGCGGACGGGUGCAGUAAUGCUUGGGAACUUGCCUUUGCGAGGGGGAUAACAGUUGGAAACGACUGCUAAUACCGCAUAAUGUCUUCGGACCAAACGGGGCUUCGGCUCCGGCGCAAAGAGAGGCCCAAGUGAGAUUAGCUAGUUGGUAAGGUAAAGGCUUACCAAGGCGACGAUCUCUAGCUGUUCUGAGAGGAAGAUCAGCCACACUGGGACUGAGACACGGCCCAGACUCCUACGGGAGGCAGCAGUGGGGAAUAUUGCACAAUGGGGGAAACCCUGAUGCAGCCAUGCCGCGUGUGUGAAGAAGGCCUUCGGGUUGUAAAGCACUUUCAGUUGUGAGGAAAAGUUAGUAGUUAAUACCUGCUAGCCGUGACGUUAACAACAGAAGAAGCACCGGCUAACUCCGUGCCAGCAGCCGCGGUAAUACGGAGGGCGCGAGCGUUAAUCGGAAUUACUGGGCGUAAAGCGCACGCAGGCGGUUUGUUAACUAGAUGUGAAAGCCCCGGGCUCAACCUGGGAUGGUCAUUUAAAACUGGCAGACUAAAGUCUUGGGAGAGGGGGAGUG